rnacentral:rRNA from 1 species
ACGGGAGGCAGCAGUGGGGAAUAUUGGACAAUGGGGGAAACCCUGAUCCAGCGACGCCGCGUGAGUGAAGAAGUAUUUCGGUAUGUAAAGCUCUAUCAGCAGGGAAGAUAAUGACGGUACCUGACUAAGAAGCCCCGGCUAACUACGUGCCAGCAGCCGCGGUAAUACGUAGGGGGUAAGCGUUAUCCGGAUUUACUGGGUGUAAAGGGAGCGUAGACGGUAUUGCAAGUCUGAUGUGAAAACCCGGGGCUCAACCCCGGGACUGCAUUGGAAACUGUCAAACUAGAGUGCAGGAGGGGUAAGUGGAAUUCCUAGUGUAGCGGUGAAAUGCGUAGAUAUUAGGAGGAACACCGGUGGCGAAGGCGGCUUACUGGACUGUAACUGACGUUGAGGCUCGAAAGCGUGGGGAGCAAACAGAAUUAGAUACCCUGGUA